CAACGCUUUGGCCGAGUGGUUAAGGCUUGUGCCUGCUAAGUACAUGGUGUUUCCCCGCAAGAGUUCGAAUCUCUCAA
rnacentral:tRNA from 1 species